rnacentral:rRNA from 1 species
UACGUAGGCAGCGAGCGUUGUUCGGAGUUACUGGGCGUAAAGGGUGUGUAGGCGGUUCUCUAAGUUUGGUGUGAAAUCUCCCGGCUCAACCGGGAGGGUGCGCCGAAAACUGGAGGGCUAGAGUGCGGGAAGGGAGAGUAGAAUUCCUGGUGUAGCGGUGAAAUGCGUAGAUAUCAGGAGGAAUACCGGUGGUGUAGACGGCUCUCUGGACCGCGACUGACGCUGAGACACGAAAGCGUGGGUAGCAACAGG